CGGGGCGUAGCACAGCCUGGUAGUGCGCUCGCUUUGGGAGCGAGAGGUCGCAAGUUCGAAUCAUGCCGCCCCGACCA
rnacentral:tRNA from 1 species